UCGCAGCCGAGCCCCUGAGGCAGAAGCUGAGGUCGGGUCGCUCCGGGGCAUGCGGCUGGAGCUAGUUCCUUAUUCCCGGGGACAGAAAACCAGCUUCAGCCGCCGUCCUGUCUGCGGGGUCGUGACUGGCCCUUCCCUAAAGCCAAGGACAAGGCACGCGUGGCCCAGCCCUGGGGCGAAAUCCCCCUCGGGACACGCCACGCCCCGGGCUCUGCGAAGGGGGAGUGUGCUGGAGCCGCCUGGGCAGGACGCGACAAGACACAAAACUCGGGGUCCAGUGUUAUUCUGCCAAGUGGCCCGCACACAUCUUGUGCUCGCGCGCUGUGUACGUAGCGCUGAAUACGGAGCUGAGGUCGGCAUGGGAUUGUCAGAAACCAUCUUCUGAGGCAGAAAUUUUGACCAAUAUGAGGGAUUUUGGAUAAGCACCUAUCAUGUCUUUACACAAUGACUGUGACUGUAUCUAUUUGGAAUUAUGUUCCUCUACUAUGUGCAGAGUAACUUUGAAAAAACAACCCUGGAAACAAGGAAUAAGGAAGAACCAGGAAGCAGAAGCAAGAAACUGGGAAUAAGGAAAGUACUUCAGCCUCAUCUUCAGCACUGGAGAGCCAAAAUCCUUAUUGACUUUGCAGUGGAAAUUGGACUCUGAGUGUAAAGGUAACAGCCAGGAAGGACGUGUCAGAGAUUCUUAUCAAAGCAUGGAAACAGACAUUGCCUGAUGUCUCAUUUGUGCUGCAAUAAAAAAAUCAGUGGCACAAUGAAAGAUAGUAAUAAAAUUGCCACUUUAUUGCAGUGGACAUCUAUUGGGUCUGUGGCAGGAGAGUACAGGAAGGCAGAGCUGUUUGCACUCUCCAGCCACUUGGUGCAGGUGCCCUUCAUGUCUCCAGACUACCAUCCUGGCUUCCCCCACUUACAGAGAGGCAUCCCACAAAUCUCAGGGCACCUUUCCAGAAGUGAGGAAGCCAGGGUGACCUUCUCAGUCAGACCUAUCCUCUGCGAUUGCAGGAGUGAGUCUGGAUGAGAGGAGAAAGCUGAUUGCGGGGGAUGAGUCUGGCUGUCAGAGAAAGCAAAACCACUCUGCAAUCACAUCACCCCUUCUCCCGCACCAUCAAGGACAAGACAAUGGGUGAUGUUGUGUUGUUUUCAGUGAAGACAUAUUGCAACACAGCUGAUCUGCUUCAUUCAACAUUGUCUGCUUCUAGCCUAAAUGCAGCACUUUCUUUUCCCUUCCCCUGCUGUUCAGUGCGCUCUAUAUGCUAGUAGCCAUCCAUCACCGCAGCAGAGACUAAGAAAGCAGCAGCACUUGUAUGGAGUCCCUUCAGCUGAGAGGUGUUCCAGAUGUGUGUCACAAGACAUGACAAAAAAGCCUCUUGGGUGACAAUUAUCUUAAGCCUGUUGCUGAAACAGGCAUUUUAAAUUCAGCGAACAGGAUGAAAUAUUUAAUCUGCAUCUACUUCCUUUCGUUCUGCUCAAAGGUACAAUUUGAGCCAUAUAACUGUGUUGUUUGAUUUUGUUACUGUGUUACCUCGCCAUGUUCCUGCAGCACAUUACAUAUAUGAGACACAGGACAAUGUAUCAAUUCCCUCUGUUAUUUUUUAAUAAAGCAAUCAUAGUUUAAGUCAGGAACCUGCACAAUGAAAUUGUGUAUAGGCAUAAGGUUAAGCACCCAUCUAAAUUUUUAACUGGAUAAUACCUGGAAGAAAAUGUCUUCCUUGUGUUCAAGCCAAAUUCAGUUCCAGUGUCAGCAGGUGCAGCUUUGUAGUCUUUACUGACCCUGUUCCUACUAUAUCGGAAUAUGAUUGUGUUAAUUUUAAAAAUGCAAAUGACAGAGGGAAGGUACUUAUUGUUUAAAAGAAAUAUGUGGUAAUAAAUGGGUUAGGGAGAAUAAGACAAUACUUUAUUUUACUUCUUUGGGAAUUCAGGUUUCUUGUCUCAUAAAUAAAAUUUAUGUUUCAUAGAGAAAGUUUUUCCUCCUGACAGUUGCAAAGCAUGUGCUCACACAUGUGCAUGCCCACACGUGCACACACACAAAAUUGAAGUUAUCAGAUUUGUUUUGCAGUCUUCUGUUUUGUUACCUAGGAGUCUGCUGAUUAAAAAAAAAAAAGUACAAACUAAGCAAGAUAUGGGAUAAAAUCAGUGUGAAACUCCCAUUGACCCUAAGAGCAGGUGUUACAUGUGCACAACAUGACGUGGCGCAUCACAUUUUUGGCACAUACGAAAGAAAGGAAAUUCAGAGUCAAGGCUGACAUUGAGCCAAGGUCAUCUUUAGUGUAAUUCCAUUGGGAACAAGCAAGUUGCGCUAGGGAUGAAUUUAUCUCUCGAUCCUGCAGCCAUCCUGUUUAUACUUUUAUUUCAACACGUGCUAUGUAUGUCAAAAUUGUCUGCAGUACACAGAGAUGUUUGCCAUAGCUGUAACAAGACAGAUGAAGGGAAGGGCCAUCAGUGUUAAAAGGAUGUUAUUUAAAUCACAUUUCAUAACUUUGACAAUCUUUUUUUCCUUUGCUUUUGCCUUGACACUGAGCUCUGCUUCCUUAGAGAGACGAUUUUUUUCCUAGUGUGGUCUUACGGAAUGAGUGCUUGGGAUGCAUUGCUGGCAUUGUCUUUUGUUAUCAGGGUCUAUUUUGUUAGUAGGAAAAAAAGAUCAUGCAAAAAUGAAAGGAAGAACAACACAUGCAUGUAUAAGUUCAUGGUCGAGCCUCCUUUUAAAGCAAACAUUUCUUAUACCUGGAGUGACCAUUCUUGGUCCUACACUUGCCUUGUGAUUCCUGUUUCCCUCUGCUCCUGUUUUCAAAAGUUCUUUUUUUGGAUAUUUUCCAGUGUCAACCUACAUGAAAGGAUUUGCUCCUCUCCCAUGAAUGGCAGAGGGAAUUUGAUACAAGCUUUAAUGGAUGCAAGCUUGAGUCCAGAGUUAGCAAAGACCAGUCAGACUUUUUAAAAGAAUAUUCUUCUUUGCUUUUUCCCUAAGUGACUUCUAUCACCAGUCAUCGCAAAAAGACAAAUCAUAGCGAGUAAAACUCAGGUACUGACCUUGUUCCUAAUUUCAUGUUACUAAGGGGCUGAUCCGAUAUUAAUGGAAAGUCAGUGGGAGUUUUGCCACCUUGUAGCAGAAGCAACAUUUCCUAUCUAUGCAGUACUGACUUUACCACAAGGACAAAACAUGAGUAGCUCAAUUUUACAUCUCCCUCUACUUAAGCAAGCUAGAUUCUGGCUCUUGCUUGGGAUACUACAAAAUCUAAGCUCAACCCAGGAAGUCUUUGACCGUUGAGAGCACUCAGGAGGCAGUGAACAUGAUUUUUUCCUGCACUGCACCUGAUAUAAGCCAGUACACUUGUGAAAAUUUGAUAUCAAGUGCUACCCACUGAAAUUCUAACCCCAUAGCAUUUUGAAUCCACACAGCACAUAUGUAACAGACAGAAAGGGAGGCAACUACAGCACAGCCUUGGCUCAGGAGGGAUGGCUUUUCGUCUUUAAAGAAGUGACAAUCACUUCCUCUAAGUUUGAGCUUUUUGACAGGGAUGAUGAAAACUGGAAUCCCGCGGGAAUCCCUUGAAGGAGAAAAUAAAAUAAUUAUAGAAGCAGGUAGGCAAGAUGCAGGAGGGAAGCUUGGGCAGCGGAUAAGUGAAAUGUCUGGACAUGCUAAUGAGGUUGGUUGAAAUCAACUAAAGAAGAAACAAGACAAUCUCCUGAACUGCUUUUUUUUCUUGUACAUGUAUACUCACUCGCAGGAAACUUUUACACGUUUAAAAACAGGAAGUAGGCCACAUUAGCAGUGAGCUAGUACUGAAGCACAGCCUUCCUAUCUGGAUAUUCAUGGUUCUGCCAAAGAAUAGGACAACUCAGGUUUACACUAAACAUCAAAAACUCUGAGAAGCCAAGAAGGGAAGAAAAACCUAAAACUCAAGGCAGUUGGAGGGAAAAAAGGAACCAAAAAGUAUAAAUAAAGGUCUAAAUCUGAAAAUGACUAGAGUUUUUGUUAUUGUUGUUCAGAUGUUACAAAUCUGGAGAUGGCCUGAGAUAGUAGUAGCCAUGGGACAUGCUGUCGUCAGGCUCAUCACAAGAAAAGAACAAUUGUUCCUGACCUUUUAUAGAGCAGCAGGGCCCUAAAGGCAGUUGGUGUCAGAAGUGAAAUAUUAAUUAGGCUGAGGCUUGGUAAACAUGGUCACACACAAGCUACACUGUGGCCCUACUCUUUUAUGAGUUUUAGAAGACAGCAGAGAAAUGAAAUUAUAUUUGGUGAGUGAACUCAGGAUCAAGAGAGGGUGAUCCAAGGGGAACAGGUCUGGAUCAGAGUACUGGAGCGUCACCACCUAACACACUGACUUUAGUCAGAGCUGUUUACAGCCGUUUGCUGCUUCUCUCCUGAAGGUAUGCUUGCUUCUUUAAGACUCAAUUCCCAUAUCCAACGUAUUGCAUUAUUUGAACCCCAGAAUGCUUCUUGGAAAAGUGUCUCUGAGCACUCCUUAUAGUAUUUGGUUUUAAGGGAGGGCCAUGGGAACCAUUAGAUUUUGCCAAGGGAGGAGGAAUAUUAAAGAUUCCAAUAUAUGAAUGAAACAGGACCUAAAGGGUGGCAUAUGAAUUACAUAAAUAGAUAAAUAAACAGAUGCACUGCCCAAAACAUGAAUUACAUCACAGAAAGUGAGCCAUGCUAUGGUCUCCUUCCCCACAAGGAUUUCCUGGGUUUCCAGCCCCCUGGCUGCCUCCAGGAGCCUGAGGAGGGAGGGGUGUGCACCAUGCGACUCCGCUCUGCCGCAGUGGCUCAUUAUGGUGGGCAGGCAGGUGGGAUAGCUGCUUGGCAUGCUUCAUUGCACCCCAUCCCAUGAAGGCCUUGCUACUGAUGGCCACAUUGCCAGGACUGUGCAGUGCCAACGGUAGGCUGGGCAGGAGGGAAUGGAUGUAGGGAGGGGGUGGAGGAGUCUGUGCCCUAUGCUGCGUGGCAUAGUCUGGCUCGGCCCUGGCUGCAGCAGUGUAGAGCAGUGUGGGAUGCAGCCUUCCCUCUUCAGGCUCCCCGUGAUGGCUGGCAGGCUGGAUAGGAUCAACUGGCAUCUCUCCACUCCUCCCCCCAGCCCUCAACAGCUCACCAAUUUUUUUUAAGUGGGCCUGCAACCCAAAUAAUUGCCUACCCUUGCUGUACCAUGUCUCUGGAGCUCCCAGAAACAGCCACUUUCAAGCAUGCUGAGUCAACCUGCCCUACUUAUACAUGUCAAUGCCAGAAAUGAGCCGGGGAAGCUGCUCCAAGGGUGCUUGAGAGUAGCAGCACGAGAUGUCCCCACAAUGGUUUUCUUGUCUUAACUUCUGGAUUUGGCAUGUGCGGGCAGGAGCAGGUGGGCAGAGUGUGCACAGAAGCAUCCCUCCCUGGGAUCACUGGGCAUUGUGUAGAUGUACCUUCAGAACAGCUUUCUAAAAAGUAACCGGUCCAAGCAAAAUGCUGACAGAAUGGAUGCAGUAGCAAACUAGGUGAUAAUCCAAACUCUGAGUUCAAAGAGCAGACGAACAGGUUUUGUCCAAGGUUUAUGGAAUCCCUUGUGGGCACCCCACAUAGAUAUUGAUACCGAGGCCUUCACAAGGUCUUGGAAAUGGUAUUUGACUUAAUUGGUUUGUGGCCAUUUAAAAAGGCCAUUUAUAAUGUUGCUCUUGACAGGCAAAUGUACUACUGUGUCAGAUGCCACCACAUAAUCUUAGUGCUUCCCACUACCCUCUCCCCUUCCUUUUUGCUGCCUAUGUUUUGUCUAAUCUUACAUGGUAAGCUCUGUUGGGUUUAGACAGUCUUUUGUCAACUUGUAAGCCACAUUUUAAGACUGUAUAAAUAACGAUAAUAAUAACAUCUGGGCUGAUAUGAAGUAUGGGACAGACAAGCAAAUAUAGCCUUUUAAAGAUUUGGCAUAACAUUUAUUGUGAUUUGGUUGAAUCCAUUGUCUGCUCCUGUCCUCUGGUAAAUGGAGGUUAAAUAGGGCAGCUUACGCAUCAAUAAAACAAGUUAUUACAUUUUAGCGUUACCUAGGGUAGGGUGGACAUAUGAAACAGUAACAAUAGAUUGGCAGAUAAUUACAUGUGAAUGGUAAGUUCCUCCUGCCUUCCUAAUAGUUAGAAUUAUUUUUCUGUCUCCACCAUCUGUGGGCGGGAGGGGGCCACUGGGCUUGUGGUCACUUGCAGCAGGGAAGUGUGUCACUGCUCAUUUCUGUGAACCAGAGAAGGCAAUUAUAUUGUGUAGUGAGUGUCAUGGUAACAGACAGCAUUUAUGCGGUACCUUCCAUGUCAGACUUUCAAAAUUCUUUGUGCAGAUAAGGAAAUUAUCCCAUAAAACAUCUUGUGAAAUAAAGUAAUCAUCACCUCUACUUUAGAAAUGGAGAAAAUGAGGUACAGAGAUUUUGAGGUGUAGGAGAAGUCUGUGGGAGGAAUGGAAUAGAAAAAUAGAAAUUAGGGUUGAAAGGGACCUCAGGAGGUCAUCGAGUCCAACCCCCUGCUCAAAGCAGAACCAUCCUCAACUAGAUCAUCCCAACCAGAGCUUUGUCUAGCCAGGCUU